AACGAACGCUGGCGGCAUGCCUAACACAUGCAAGUCGAACGAGACCUUCGGGUCUAGUGGCGCACGGGUGCGUAACGCGUGGGAACCUGCCCUUAGGUUCGGAAUAACUCCCCGAAAGGGGUGCUAAUACCGGAUAAUGUCUUCGGACCAAAGAUUUAUCGCCUUUGGUUGGGCCCGCGUUGGAUUAGCUAGUUGGUAGGGUAAAAGCCUACCAAGGCGACGAUCCAUAGCUGGUCUGAGAGGAUGAUCAGCCACACUGGGACUGAGACACGGCCCAGACUCCUACGGGAAGCAGCAGUGGGGAAUAUUGGACAAUGGGCGAAAGCCUGAUCCAGCAAUGCCGCGUGAGUGAUGAAGGCCUUAGGGUUGUAAAGCUCUUUUACCCGGGAUGAUAAUGACAGUACCGGGAGAAUAAGCGCCGGCUAACUCCGUG
rnacentral:rRNA from 1 species